GACGAACGCUGGCGGCGUGCUUAACACAUGCAAGUCGAACGGUGAAGCGCCUUCCUUUUUGGUGGGUGUGGAUGAGUGGCGAACGGGUGAGUAACACGUGAGUAACCCGCCCCCUUCUUCUGGAUAACCGCAUGAAAGUGUGGCUAAUACGGGAUAUUCUGGGUCUGUCGCAUGAUGGGUCUGGGAAAGAUAUUGUUUCGGUGGGGGAUGGGCUCGCGGCCUAUCAGCUUGUUGAUGGGGUGAUGGCCUACCAAGGCGGUGACGGGUAGCCGGCCUGAGAGGGUGGACGGUCACACUGGGACUGAGACACGGCCCAGACUCCUACGGGAGGCAGCAGUGGGGAAUAUUGCACAAUGGGCGCAAGCCUGAUGCAGCGACGCCGCGUGAGGGAUGGAGGCCUUCGGGUUGUGAACCUCUUUCGCCAGUGAAGCAGGCCUGCCUCGUUUGUGGGUGGGUUGACGGUAGCUGGAUAAGAAGCGCCGGCUAACUACGUG
rnacentral:rRNA from 1 species